rnacentral:rRNA from 1 species
CAAUAGCGUAUAUUAAAGUUGUUGCAGUUAAAAAGCUCGUAGUUGGAUUUGUGGUGUACUUCGGCGGCCCGUCACUAUGUGAUGGAGCUUGCUGAAGUCGCCAUCCUUGGGUGGAUCCUGUGUGGCAUUAAGUUGUCGUGCAGGGGGUGCCCAUCGUUUACUGUGAAAAAAUUAGAGUGUUCAAAGCAGGCUUAUGCCGUUGAAUAUAUUAGCAUGGAAUAAUAAGAUAGGACCUUGGUACUAUUUUGUUGGUUUGCGCACCAAGGUAAUGAUUAAUAGGGACAGUUGGGGGCAUUCGUAUUUCAUUGUCAGAGGUGAAAUUCUUGGAUUUUUGAAAGACGAACUACUGCGAAAGCAUUUACCAAGGAUGUUUUCAUUAA